rnacentral:lncRNA from 1 species
UGGAAGCUCCUGUCUGUGAAGGGUGUGCACAGAGAGCUUCGGUAGCCUGCGAAGCAGCCAUUUUCACUUCCACGGAGCAGAUGCUGGCCUGGGUGCUGGAAUAUGGAAAUGAGGAAGAUCCUGCCUGAGGAUUUCAUGACAGUGCUGCGAUUACCGACGUGAGCCACUGUGCCCAGCCUCACUUUAAAAAAAAAAAAAGGUUAUGAAGCAUCUCAACACAAGACCUCCUUUGCUCAUCACAACCACCCAGUGAAGCAGGCAAGACAACAGAAACUCCCCACCUGUGAUAGAUGUGAGGCCUGAAGUCUCCCACAUACCCACGGCAGAUGCAACGCACAGCGGUGACCAAUGGUGAAGGAUCUAAAACCUGAAAAGAGGCCAAAUGAUUCCUCAAAACCACGCAAGUACGAAGUAGCAGAGCGGAUCUCAAAUCCAGAGCACUGCGUGUUUUGAAAUAUACAAAUAGUGGGAAACGAAAUCUUUGUUCUGGAUGCAGUUAUAAUUUGGAAAGCGAGGAAAUAAAUUAUAACAAGGGGAAAAAACAGACACAGAGGGAUUGAAAUGCAUAACAAUAGAGAUGAAACACGAAGAGUGAUAAAUGAAGAUUGAGUGUGCACACCUUCUGGAGGAGCCCUGAUUGAGUAUUUUAAAAUACUACUAAAGUCAUGCCGUGUGACUUCUGAAGCUAGCUCCUAAGAAGUCCUUGCAGCUUCUGCCUGCGACUCUUAGAACACUUGCUUUGAAGGAUGCCAGAUGCUGUCUUAAAAGUCUGAGCACUCUGAAACCAUCAUGCUGUGAGGAAGCCCAAGCUAACCACAUGGGCAAAAAAGAUGCCCUCUGACUGCCACCAUUUGAGACACUCUAAUUAAGAACUGCCUCAUUGAGCCCAUGAGGCCCUGUGAAUGAUAAUAAUAAAUUGUUUUUAACCACUAUGUUUUUGGAUUUGUUAUAAGUUUAUAGAUAACAAGAAAAAGUUAUAUUAGCAUGGUAAUAAAAUUAUGGAUAUGU